rnacentral:rRNA from 1 species
AGCUAGGUCUGAAACACCAGUUCUCAUAUGAUCACUGAAAUUAAGCCAUAUUGAGCCUGGUCACUACCUAGAUGGGUAACCACUUGAGAAUACCAGAUGCU